UACGUAGGCAGCAAGCGUUGUUCGGAGUUACUGGGCGUAAAGGGUGUGUAGGCGGCCUGUUAAGUUCCGUGUGAAAUCUCCCGGCUCAACCGGGAGGAUGCGCGGAAAACUGGCGGGCUAGAGUGCGGGAUGGGAGAGUAGAAUUCCUGGUGUAGCGGUGAAAUGCGUAGAUAUCUGGAGGAACACCGGUGGCGAAGGCGGCAUCCUGGACCGACACUGACGCUGAGGAGCGAAAGCCAGGGGAGCAAACGGG
rnacentral:rRNA from 1 species